GGCGGCCGUAACUAUAACGGUCCUAAGGUAGCGAAAUUCCUUGUCGGGUAAGUUCCGACCUGCACGAAUGGCGUAACGACUUCCCCGCUGUCUCCAACACCGGCUCGGCGAAAUUGAAUUCCCCGUGAAGAUGCGGGGUACCCGCAGUUAGACGGAAAGACCCCGUGCACCUUUACUACAACUUUGCAGUGGCAUUAGAGAAUGGAUGUGUAGGAUAGGCGGGAGCCUUUGAAGCAGGGGCGCUAGCUCUUGUGGAGGCAACCUUGAAAUACCGCCCUUUUGUUCUUUGAUGUCUAACCGAGGUCUGUCAUCCAGAUCCGGGACCCUGCAUGGUGGGUAGUUUGACUGGGGCGGUCGCCUCCCAAAGAGUAACGGAGGCGCGCGAUGGUGGGCUCAGGCUGGUCGGAAAUCAGCCGCUGAGUGCAAUGGCACAAGCCCGCCUGACUGCGAGACUGACAAGUCGAGCAGGGACGAAAGUCGGCCAUAGUGAUCCGGUGGUUCCGCGUGAGUGGGCCAUCGCUCAACGGAUAAAAGGUACGCCGGGGAUAACAGGCUGAUACCACCCAAGCGUCCACAGCGACGGUGGUGUUUGGCACCUCGAUGUCGACUCAUCACAUCCUGGGGCUGGAGCAGGUCCCAAGGGUUCGGCUGUUCGCCGAUUAAAGUGGUACGUGAGUUGGGUUCAAAACGUCGUGAGACAGUUUGGUCCCUAUCUGCUGUGGGUGUUCGAGACUUGAGAGGAGCCGUCCUUAGUACGAGAGGACCGGGAUGGACGUACCUCUGGUGUACCGGUUGUGACGCCAGUCGCAGCGCCGGGUAGCUAUGUACUGGAGGGAUAAACGCUGAAAGCAUCUAAGCGUGAAACCCGCCUCAAAACUAGGUCUCGCUGAGAGUCGUGGUAGACCACCACGUUGAUAGGCCGCAUGUGUAAGUGCAGUGAUGCAUUCAGCUUAGCGGUACUAAUAGCUCGAUCGGCUUGAUUUC
rnacentral:ncRNA from 1 species